AUGUUCCAGAAGUAUUCUCUCCUGACGUUUCGCCCACAAAAGACAUACAACAACCCUGUGAUCCCGGCUAUGAAAGCCUUCAACAACACAAACCGAACAUCCACUGGAGCAAGAGUCAUUGUUUCCAAGACCCUGAACUAUCCUCUAGGCCUGGAAAGUCCCUUGCCAAAGAUCUCAGAUUUUCUAGCUCAGGUCAUCUUCUCUGAAACUUGGGUGGAGAAGGAACAAGGAAGACUAGCACCAUGUAAGAUAACACUCAAAGUAAAGUUGGAGGAAGAAGAGGAAAUCUGGCUCAUGAUGACAUCAGCCUUUGGGCCGGGACUCCAAGUGGCUAGCAAGAAGAUUAAAACAGAAUUCUCCUCGGCUUAA
rnacentral:lncRNA from 1 species